GCCAUUCGCCCUGCGCCCACUGACGUGAUGGGUCUCCGUUUGUGUUACGGCCAUGAAGCGGUGUUGCGUCUGUCCUCGGCGGGCAUGUUGUGGUGGAAUGCGGUGUGAAGGGAGAGGUGGAUACAGAAUGGUAGUCAAUCUAAGACGAAAGAGAAACCAAGGUAAACAAAAUAACGGGAAAGUGAGAAAGAAAAACAAAAGAAAAUACCGAUGAAAAGAAAAUCUGCGGUAAAAAUGCACCGCUGAAACAAAAAUGAAUGAAAAAGUGUAAAGAAAAGAUGUGAUAAUGGUGUGUUUUUGUGAGGCAGCAAUUGAUUAUGCUGCACCCCCUCUCUACCACCACCACCACCACCGCCACUACCACUGCGAGUGUUCUUGCAGGAGGUGACAGAAACGAAGAAGCGCAAACAACUGGAGAUAUCUGAGCCUGAGAGGAAGUUGCAAGUAUAAUAUGAAGCAAAACUCAGACUCACUGAAAGAACUUUGAGAGGACUGUGAAGAACAACUCAAGAACAACAGGCCCGAAGUGGAGGACCUGUACGAGGCCAAGGUGACCCACCAACUACCCCUAACAAUUGUGAUGAAGAACCAGAAGUGGACUGUUAGGUGACGAGAUAACUACCCCAGGCCAUCCCGGAAGUGGCGAGGUGACCCCAUACAACUCCACAAGGUCGUGGAGGACGCCAGGCAUAGUCCUGCAGACUCCAGAAAUACAUAUCACCACCACCUUGACUCCUGCUGCUAGCUAGCGAAGGCCACGUGGUCGCCUACACUCAACCAUCCACCUCACCCGGACACCCACCUACCCCCGACUGCUACUUGGACAUCAUCCAGCCGCAAGAACCCAGAUAAGCACUUCCAAGAUGCUUGGUUUUGGUUAGCUAGCUAGUUUAGUUAGGAGUCACCUGCUAUAGAUAGGAACUCUCCUCGGUCUGCGGAUAUUUUUUUUUUUUUUUGUAACGCUGUCCUCUACGUGAGUGAUGGUGUUUAUCUUUCUUUCAUUUCUUUUUUUUUUUUUUUUUUACUGAAGACCAGUUCUGUGAUUAUCUUGGAGGUUAACAGAGAAGAGUACUUCACACAUGUUUGUAGAUUUUUUUUUUUUGGUCAUGUUUUUUUGUUGUGAUUGCUAUUUAUUUAUUUAUUUAUUUUUACUGAAAAAUGUGAGUGAGAAUGCAGCACAAUAUAUAAAGAUGUGCAUUCCAGAGUGGAAGGAAGGCGUGCAUAAGGUAGAGUGCACAGGAUGCAAUGCCGUUUUUAUCACCAGACCUUGAUUGAUUUCAGGAAAUGAAAACUUUGGUGUGAGUACCUUACAAAGACACUUGCCAUUACUAAUGUCACCUCACCUCGUGGUUUCACCUUAACACUACAAACAUUGGCUAGACACAAGGUCAUAUAAAUAAUUUAUUCUGAUUUAUUCUUAUCUUUACAACUUAGUCUUUACACAUCAAAGUAACUAAUCACCUUUAUUCAUACACUUGAGGGGGGUUGAAGGAUCGCUAAUCCCAUGUUAAAUCACUUAUGUUCAUCUCGUAUCGCCUCCCUCAUUUAUUGACCAUUUUCUUUCAUUUAAAAAGCAUUUUGAUAAGGAAGGAUAGGAGAACAAUAUCUACUAUCGGUUUUUGUAUGAUUUUUUUUUUUUCGAUGAAAAAAAAACUUUUAAAUAUUUGUCAAAAAUCAAAAUCAUCUCCAAACAAAAAUUUCGAUAGCAGACUUUGUCCGCCUCUCAUAGUUUGAUAAGCCGCAAUAGCCCAUAUAUGUGUAACAGCAAUAACAACGGAGGAGAUGAUUUUUUUUCUUUUAUAUGCCAAAAUCCGCCAUUUUGAGAUAUUAUGUCAUAAAGUUUAAGGGGUGACUAUAAUUCACCUAUUGCAGCUAAGGACUUGAAAUUCACAUGAUAUAUACAUCAGAAUAUGUUGAAAAACCAGACAUAGUUAAAUUUAGUUACUCCGAUUGGUUUUGUACAUAGGCCUAAAGCGAUUCAUGAUUUCACUCUUAAUUACCGGGGAGGGGGGGAAGGCGGAUGAAAACAAUUUUUGUUAUGUUUCGCCAUAUUUCUAAGUAAAAACCAGUGUUUAACUGUUUAAAAAUAAAUAAAAUAUUAAUGCAAAAAAUAUCUAAUGCAGAUGCAUUGACUAUUUGGUGGAUUUACGAAAAAAAAAAAUUACUUUUCGUAUAUAAAUUUGAGAAAAUAAUUAGGGCUAAAAUUUCGUGCUCUCUAAUGUUGUACGCACCAAGAGAACCGUAGAUAUUCAUAGAAAACUAAAGAAGAACGGGUAUGUCAGAAGAAAAAAAAUAUGGGAAAAAGGAAAAAAAUGGAAAAAAAAAAAUUGUCAUACAUGUCUCGCGGCGGGCGAAGCCGUGGAAUUUCAUAUACAUAAGGGGAAUUUUAUUUUUUUUUAAUCAAAACGUUACAUAUAUCAAAAGAAGCGGAAAAAUGCGGAAAAUUAUAAAAGAGAAAAAACCAUGUCCGGAUCGUACAGCCCCCUUGAUGCAAAAAAUGUCUGCGCGCCUGACGUUGUUUACACACACGACAUACACUUCCUUUGAGAAAAGAUACUAUGAAUGCCUUCAUGAGUGUCUUACUAUUUCAUUGCAUAGCCCCUCCUCUUGAUGACGACGCGUACACUGUCAGUUACACUUUGCAGCGUCUCAGAUUUUUUCCCAACUCCUUUGUAUUUUUCCCAAUACCUUUGUAUUUCCAUUUCAAAUAAAUUGUUCUCUUUCCAAGGGUUGAGGAGAACAUGGUCGUGCUUCAAGUGAAGCCACUACAGCCACUCCCUGACAAGUCUUACACACUGUGAUGAGAAACGUAGCAUCAUCCGCUGCACAAAACAAUACAGCAGCGAAGUGACACGGCCAGGACUUGAACCAACACCUGCCUGCCUCACUGACACCUGCCGUGGUACCAGGGAGUGCCGAGGCUUGUGCUGCCACCACGCUGAGAGAGGGAGAAAGAGAAGAGCAUCAGAGGGGAAUGACUGGCAGAAAGGAUGGUGUGUUAAGUGAAUGGUUCAGACAGUGACAGUGGGCAGAAGAAAUGCUGGAGAAAGAUUAGACCACAGGUGGUUCAUGUUGCAGUAGUUCAAGGUUUGGCAGAAAAUAUUUUUUCUAGACAGACAGUGGCAGCAGACACACAAGAGAGGAUGGUGUGGUGGAGAAGAGGAUGCAGGGAGACGGCAGACAGAAUGGAAACUACAGAUGAAAGAAGAGCAGGUCAAGCCAUGGCAGCAGACAGACAGACAGACAGAUUGGAUCAGAAAGAAGUAUUAUUUAGUGAGGUGCCUGCUGCCUCCUCCUUCUAAUGGAAACAAGUAGGACGAAGAGGGCAGAGAGGAGGACGACGAAUACACAGGAAGACCACACAGCAAAACGCUGUUCCUAUGUUUAGGUAACUACUCGUAUUCUACAGUCACUGUUAGUGACAGACAGGGUAAUAGAAGAGGAGGAAGAGAAAGAAGAAGAAAAAAAAGAAAAAAAAGAAGAAGAAGAAGAAGAAGAAGAAAAAGAAGAAAAUGGAACAGCACACAAAAAAAAAUUUAAAAAAAAGGAAUAAGAGGAAGAGGAAAAAUAGUAAGACAAGUUGUGUGCGUCACGGCUAAAUGAAGCAGCUGGGCAUUAUCAGGAGCAGUCAUGAAGCAGUCAUGAAGCUUGGCAUCAGCACCUCCCAGACACGAGGUGCCGUGAUCACAUCUUAUCAUUACUGCCUCGCCGAUUACCGCCCUCCUCCAAGAACGCCCCUCCUGAAUCUUUAUUUUUAUUCUUCACUAUAGAUUAUCAAAGAUUUCGUUUUUGUAUUUAAUAAAGUCUCGGUUAGGAUUCUUGUAAACUUCAGUACCCACUUGUAUUAGUUUGACAGCUUUAUUUAUUUAUUUAUUUAUUUUUCAUUCUUUACUAUUAAAUUUCACUGGUCUCGUUUUGCAUUUGGUAAAGUCUUAGUCAGGAGUGUUGUAACUUGCAAGCCUUGAUUCCAGUGUGUUUUGCGAGUUGCUGUUAAAUUUCCUGAUACGAUGAUAUUAUAGAAUCUAAGACCUCAGAUCAAUGGACUUGAGAUUGGGAGAAAACGAUAAACUAAAAAUAAACACACCCACUGCAAUUAAUACCACUGAAUUUAGUGCUUUUCCUUCACUCUCAAUGAUAGUCCUUACAAUACUUGACAAUUGGUGGAUUCCCAGAACAAAGGACUUAAUAUUGAGAGAGAACAAUAAACAGUGAUGACAAACACAUCACUGCACUUAAUACUACUACUGUGUUUAGUGUUUUACCUCAAUGUCACGACCUCUGAUAUGCUGACCGUCUCCUUACAAAAACCUAAUAACUUACAUUUUCAGGCAAUCAAAGAAUUUAAGAUUGAGGAAAAACUAAAAACAAAAUUAAAAUGAUUGCAGAAGGUUAAUGGAUAAAAAGAGAAUGGCUGGGAGGGGAUAUGUGGGGCCAAAAGAGGAGAUAAAAUCAGAAAGAUCUGGUUGUGAUGAGUAAAGAAGUGAAAGAUGAGAAGGGUGGGAGAUGAUAGGGAGGGUGAGGUCAAGGAGGAAGGAGAUGGAUGGAUGGGUGGUGUGGUUCUCAUUAAUUGGAAAGUAAAGUGGAGGGGAGGAGUCUUUUGUUUCAUCAUGUUCUCCACACUUGGUUUACUAAUAGUUAAGCAGGUACCGUAGUUAUUGACCAACCAAUCUCCUGGUAUCUACUCUUCAUUUGUAAUCUUGGCGGUGGUGAUGGUGGUGGUGGUGGUGGUGGUGGUGGUGGUAAAAGUUCCCGUCAUCAUUUCCAUAAUUACUCUCAUCCUCAUUAAUUCACAGAAUUUUUAGCAAGAAAACAAAUUAUAACUUUUCAAUUACUUUUGUUGUUUAUAUCUUCCCGCGUGCAGCUAACUACUCCCGAAAGUGUGGAGGGCGGGGCGGGAGGCUGACGAGGGGGCCGCUCUGCCUUCACCAGCCCCCGCCCCCGCCUCCGCCCCAGCCAACUACCCGCCGCCCACACACAGCGCCUCCCAGCACCCACAUCACCAUACUAAUGAUAUUUUAAACACUUCUAUCAUAUCACUUAAUCACAUCACUGACAGGUACGGGGAUAUAACACGAGUAACGUAAACGAAGUUUUCAGGAUCAGUAAUCAGGAUAGAAAAAGAAAUGGUGGAUUAUAGGUUGACAAAAUUAGGUCUACAAGAGAGAGAGAGAGAGGAAGAUGGAUGAAUGGAAUGGACUCAGUAGUCAGGUUGUUAGUGCUGCAAGGAGCCAUCAGGCCUACACAUGGCAGUCUCUGAAUUUCAAUCUAAAUAAUUUCCAUCACCAUCCAUAAAUACAAUAUUUGCAUUUUUAUUUUCAUUUUAUUCAUGUAGUGUAGGAAACUUCCAUGGUGGAAAUUUCCAUUGUUUUGCAUCUGUUGGGAUGUCGCCACCAAGCACAGACUGCACGAGGUGCUGACGAUAUGUCUGCAUCCACUGCUGUUGCCGCCAGCACCUUCCAGAGGCGGUCAGCAGCCGGCUGGCCGUGCGGCAGCAGUAGUGCUACCAAGCAAGCCUGCCGGUGUAUCUCCGCUGAACUCAAUGCUGUGAGUGUGUGCACAAACUCUAAACAAACUAUAAAACUAAGUGAAGUAAUGUCACUGUUUAACUGAUACAAAAUACACUGUUAGUCUCUCCAGUAAUCAGAGACCUAAUACCACCACGUUACUACACUACCCCGUAACGAGUGAACUCUUGUUGGUGUAAAUAAAUUGUAUAUACUGAC